GAUGAACGCUGGCGGCGUGCCUAAUACAUGCAAGUCGAGCGAACAGACGAGGAGCUUGCUCCUCUGACGUUAGCGGCGGACGGGUGAGUAACACGUGGAUAACCUACCUAUAAGACUGGGAUAACUUCGGGAAACCGGAGCUAAUACCGGAUAAUAUAUUGAACCGCAUGGUUCAAUAGUGAAAGACGGUUUUGCUGUCACUUAUAGAUGGAUCCGCGCCGCAUUAGCUAGUUGGUAAGGUAACGGCUUACCAAGGCAACGAUGCGUAGCCGACCUGAGAGGGUGAUCGGCCACACUGGAGCUGAGACACGGUCCAGACUCCUACGAGAGGCAGCAGUAGGGAAUCGUCCGCAGUGGGCGAGAGCUUGACGGAGCAGCGCCGCGUGAGUGAUGAAGGUCUUCGGAUCGUAAAGCUCUGUUAUUAGGGAAGAACAAAUGUGUAAGUAACUAUGCACGUCUUGACGGUACCUAAUCAGAAAGCCACGGCUAACUACGUG
rnacentral:rRNA from 1 species